rnacentral:rRNA from 1 species
UACAGAGGGUGCGAGCGUUGUCCGGAAUUACUGGGCGGAAAGGGCUCGUAGGUGGCCAACUAAGUCGGACGUGAAAUCCCUCAGCUUAACUGGGGAACUGCGUCCGAUACUGGAUGGCUUGAGUUUGGGAGAGGGAUGCGGGAUUCCAGGUGUAGCGGUGAAAUGCGUAGAUAUCUGGAGGAACACCGGUGGCGAAGGCGGCCACCUGGGCCAAUAUUGACGCUGAGGUGCGAAAGCGUGGGGAGCAAACAGG